rnacentral:rRNA from 1 species
ACAUGAAGAUAGAGGGAAAGGAGCAAUCCGCUGAUAGAUGGGCUUGCGUCUGAUUAGAUAGUUGUGGGGUAACGGCCUACCAAGUCGACGAUCAGUAGCCGGACUGAGAGGUUGAACGGCCACAUUGGGACUGAGAUACGGCCCAGACUCCUACGGGAGGCAGCAGUCGGGAAUAUUGCGCAAUGGAGGAAACUCUGACGCAGUGACGCCGCGUGCAGGAAGAAGGUUUUCGGAUUGUAAACUGCUUUAGACAGGGAAGAAACAAGACAGUACCUGUAGAAUAAGCUCCGGCUAACUAC